rnacentral:rRNA from 1 species
UACGGAGGGUGCAAGCGUUAUCCGGAUUUACUGGGUUUAAAGGGUGCGCAGGCGGAUAUGUAAGUCAGUGGUGAAAUCUCCGGGCUUAACCCGGAAACUGCCGUUGAUACUAUAUAUCUUGAAUGCUGUGGAGGUAAGCAGAAUAUGUCAUGUAGCGGUGAAAUGCUUAGAGAUGACAUAGAAUACCAAUUGCGAAGGCAGCUGGCUACACGAAUAUUGACACUGAUGCACGAAAGCGUGGGGAUCAAACAGG